GGGGGCGUAGUGCUAACUGGUUAGAACGCUAGCUUGUCAUGUUAGAAGGUGUGGGUUCAAAUCCCAUCGCCCUCG
rnacentral:tRNA from 1 species